ACACAGUUUCUAUUUAAACCUUUGUGUCCUGCCUUAGCUCUCUGAGUGGCCAGCGAUGCCUUGCCACUAGAACCUUCUCCUAAAACUCAUCCUGAUUGACAUGAGACAGGAUUUUGGUUCCUGAAGUUCAUGCCCUGUUAACUAAACCCCUUUCAGUACUAAAAUCAGUUCACUCUUUAAUUCUGCCCUUUCAGCUUCCUGAUUUCUCCCGAUUCCUUCCUUCUCCCUGGAGUGGCCGACAAUGUCCACCACGGUCAAUGUAGAUUCCCUUGCGGAAUAUGAGAAGAGCCAGAUCAAGAGAGCCCUGGAGCUGGGGACGGUGAUGACUGUGUUCAGCUUCCGCAAGUCCACCCCCGAGCGGAGAACCGUCCAGGUGAUCAUGGAGACGCGGCAGGUGGCCUGGAGCAAGACCGCUGACAAGAUCGAGGGCUUCUUGGAUAUCAUGGAAAUAAAAGAAAUCCGCCCAGGGAAGAACUCCAAAGAUUUCGAGCGAGCAAAAGCAGUUCGCCAGAAAGAAGACUGCUGCUUCACCAUCCUGUAUGGCACUCAGUUCGUCCUCAGCACGCUCAGCUUGGCGGCUGACUCUAAAGAGGAUGCAGUUAACUGGCUCUCUGGCUUGAAAAUCUUACACCAGGAAGCGAUGAAUGCGUCCACGCCCACCAUUAUCGAGAGUUGGCUGAGAAAGCAGAUAUAUUCUGUGGAUCAAACCAGAAGAAACAGCAUCAGUCUCCGAGAGUUGAAGACCAUCUUGCCCCUGAUCAACUUUAAAGUGAGCAGUGCCAAGUUCCUUAAAGAUAAGUUUGUGGAAAUAGGAGCACACAAAGAUGAGCUCAGCUUUGAACAGUUCCAUCUCUUCUAUAAAAAACUUAUGUUUGAACAGCAAAAAUCGAUUCUCGAUGAAUUCAAAAAGGAUUCGUCCGUGUUCAUCCUGGGGAACACUGACAGGCCGGAUGCCUCUGCUGUUUACCUGCAUGACUUCCAGAGGUUUCUCAUACAUGAACAGCAGGAGCAUUGGGCUCAGGAUCUGAACAAAGUCCGUGAGCGGAUGACAAAGUUCAUUGAUGACACCAUGCGUGAAACUGCUGAGCCUUUCUUGUUUGUGGAUGAGUUCCUCACGUACCUGUUUUCACGAGAAAACAGCAUCUGGGAUGAGAAGUAUGACGCGGUGGACAUGCAGGACAUGAACAACCCCCUGUCUCAUUACUGGAUCUCCUCGUCACAUAACACGUACCUUACAGGUGACCAGCUGCGGAGCGAGUCGUCCCCAGAAGCUUACAUCCGCUGCCUGCGCAUGGGCUGUCGCUGCAUUGAACUGGACUGCUGGGACGGGCCCGAUGGGAAGCCGGUCAUCUACCAUGGCUGGACGCGGACUACCAAGAUCAAGUUUGACGACGUCGUGCAGGCCAUCAAAGACCACGCCUUUGUUACCUCGAGCUUCCCAGUGAUCCUGUCCAUCGAGGAGCACUGCAGCGUGGAGCAACAGCGUCACAUGGCCAAGGCCUUCAAGGAAGUGUUUGGCGACCUGCUGCUGACGAAGCCCACGGAGGCCAGUGCUGACCAGCUGCCCUCGCCCAGCCAGCUGCGGGAGAAGAUCAUCAUCAAGCAUAAGAAGCUGGGCCCCCGAGGCGAUGUGGAUGUCAACAUGGAGGACAAGAAGGAUGAGCACAAGCAACAGGGAGAGCUGUACAUGUGGGAUUCCAUUGACCAGAAAUGGACUCGGCACUACUGCGCCAUCGCCGAUGCCAAGCUGUCCUUCAGUGAUGACAUUGAACAGACUAUGGAGGAGGAAGUGCCCCAGGAUAUACCCCCUACAGAACUACAUUUUGGGGAGAAAUGGUUCCACAAGAAGGUGGAGAAGAGGACGAGUGCCGAGAAGUUGCUGCAGGAAUACUGCAUGGAGACGGGGGGCAAGGAUGGCACCUUCCUGGUUCGGGAGAGCGAGACCUUCCCCAAUGACUACACCCUGUCCUUCUGGCGGUCAGGCCGGGUCCAGCACUGCCGGAUCCGCUCCACCAUGGAGGGCGGGACCCUGAAAUACUACUUGACUGACAACCUCACCUUCAGCAGCAUCUAUGCCCUCAUCCAGCACUACCGCGAGACACACCUGCGCUGCGCCGAGUUCGAGCUGCGGCUCACGGACCCUGUGCCCAACCCCAACCCCCACGAGUCCAAGCCGUGGUACUAUGACAGCCUGAGCCGUGGAGAGGCAGAGGACAUGCUGAUGAGGAUUCCCCGGGACGGGGCCUUCCUGAUCCGGAAGCGAGAGGGGAGCGACUCCUAUGCCAUCACGUUCAGGGCUAGGGGCAAGGUAAAGCAUUGUCGCAUCAACCGGGACGGCCGGCACUUUGUGCUGGGGACCUCCGCCUAUUUUGAGAGUCUGGUGGAGCUCGUCAGUUACUACGAGAAGCAUUCACUCUACCGAAAGAUGAGACUGCGCUACCCCGUGACCCCCGAGCUCCUGGAGCGCUACAAUAUGGAAAGAGAUAUAAACUCCCUCUACGACGUCAGCAGAAUGUAUGUGGAUCCCAGUGAAAUCAAUCCGUCCAUGGUACAGUGCCGAACCUCCAAUUCACAUGAUUUUGGAGUCACGAGGCUGAUGUGGAUUCCAUCUUGUUCCCAUGGCAGUUAUAACAGGGCAAGGGAAGACUUUGGAAAACCUGGCCAAAAUAAUUUCUUUUUUUUUUUUUUUUUGAGAAGAAAGGAUGAUUGACAAUAUCAAGCCUAGUUUCAGGGAAAAUGUUAAUAGAAUUCCAUCCAAAUGCAACAGUGUUUUGCUAAAAUUCUGAGGUUUGACGAACCACCUUUGGGCCAAAUGGCUUCUAAUUAAAAGUCUUGCAGAUGUUUUUUGCUCGCUGACAGAGCCCGUGGUGUUUUUAAAUUCCAUUUGGUUCACUG
rnacentral:sRNA from 1 species